CCGCUGUGGGGAAGCUGUGUGUGUUCAAUCUAGUGGAGUUCACAGGAGAACCUGUGGUGGAGGAGGUAAACAUCACCGGCCUACCGGAGAGAGUGGUUUUGUAUGCCUCAUAUGUGGUAGCGUCACCUCGAAGCCUCACCCCACUUUCACCUGCAGCAGUUGUGGGGUCACUUUGUGUGAGCACUUGACCUCUGAACAUCUACAAUCAUGUCCCCAAGGGGUGCUUCAGAGGCAGGUAAAGACAUCUCAGGGGCAGGUAGGAGAGGA